rnacentral:tRNA from 1 species
AUCUAAAUAGUUUAAUUUAAAACAUUUAACUUCCAAUUAAAAAAUUCAGAUAAAAUCUAAUUUAGAUA